UCCUCUCUUUCAUCAACCUGUAAAGUCAAGUAGUGGACCACCACUCUUUAUUCUCCAAUUCAUCAGUUUAUGCGUUGUCGGUCCAAAAAGCUCCCCCAUCAUCGUACAUGUUGUCAAAAUCUGCUCUUCCCCUCCAGAAGAAAAUUCUAGCUACCUGGCAAUCUCAAAUUAUUCAAAUUCUUUUUUGCAUUACAUAUAUGUAUAUAAUAUGAAAUAGUCAGCGAUUAGAGACUUGUAACUGAAUUGGUUAAGAAUAAUAAUUAUUCUUACACUUGAGAUAAUGCUAUCUCAAGUGUGAAAGUGUAAAAGUGUGAGUGGAUAAAAAGAGAAAGAGAAACAAACAUAAAUGCAAAUUAAAGCCUAAGUUUUGUUAUUGGGUUGUGUGGCAUAGGCGAGGCAGUGGCAGAUCGCUUUCUCAGGGAAUCUUGGUGGAUUCAAACAAAGUAGCUAGUCUGGAAUGGGUACGUGUGUGGAUGUGAUGAAUUGAACCAAAGGGUUUAGAAGAAUCGCGUGAAUGUGGUUAAUUUUGAGUUUGGACAUACAUGAUUUUAUGAGAUUCGAAAUAGUUGACGAUGAUGAAUACAUACAUAUCUUUGCUCCUUGGAGUCCUUGUAUCUGUAGCCCUGUAGCCCCGUAGCCCUGUAGCCCUGUAGCCCUGUAGCCCUGUAGCCCUGUAGUUGGUGGUACUUGUAC
rnacentral:lncRNA from 1 species